UACAGAGGGUGCGAGCGUUAAUCGGAAUUACUGGGCGUAAAGCGCACGUAGGCGGCUUGGUAUGUCGGGUGUGAAAUCCCCGGGCUCAACCUGGGAACUGCAUCCGAAACUGCCUUGCUAGAGUAUGGGAGAGGGAAGUGGAAUUUCCGGCGUAGCGGUGAAAUGCGUAGAUAUCGGAAGGAACAUCAGUGGCGAAGGCGACUUCCUGGACCAGCACUGACACUGAGGCACGAAAGCGUGGGGAGCAAACAGG
rnacentral:rRNA from 1 species